AUUGAACGCUGGCGGAAUGCUUUACACAUGCAAGUCGAACGGUAGAGGGGCAACCCUCGAGAGUGGCGAACGGGUGAGUAAUGUAUCGGAACAUGCCCAAUCGUGGGGGAUAACGUAGCGAAAGUUACGCUAAUACCGCAUACGAUCUACGGAUGAAAGCGGGGGAUCGCAAGACCUCGCGCGAUUGGAGUGGCCGAUAUCAGAUUAGGUAGUUGGUGGGGUAAAGGCCUACCAAGCCGACGAUCUGUAGCUGGUCUGAGAGGACGACCAGCCACACUGGGACUGAGACACGGCCCAGACUCCUACGGGAGGCAGCAGUGGGGAAUUUUGGACAAUGGGCGCAAGCCUGAUCCAGCCAUUCCGCGUGCAGGAAGAAGGCCUUCGGGUUGUAAACUGCUUUUGUACGGAACGAAACGCGCUGUGCUAAUACCACGGCGUAAUGACGGUACCGUAAGAAUAAGCACCGGCUAACUACGUGCCAGCCGCCGCCGUAA
rnacentral:rRNA from 1 species